UUGUGUGCAACAUAUCAAGAACAGCUGACUUCCUUUAUGAAGGUUGUUGAAGAGCACAAUGAGAAGCUAUCUACGAAAAUUCAUCAUGUAGUUAAUAAUCUCAAAGAAUUUGAAUCCAUAGACGAGCUUUUGCACCAAACAUAGCUGCGAAUCACGAGGGUAUUUAAGCUCUUAAUAUUUAGCAUUUACCUAUUCCAUCAUAAUAUAUCUAAACUCUUUCAGAAACAAUUUUCUCUCUCACCUAAAUAUCUGAUGAAGUUCUUAUUGAGGUUUUUUCUUUGUUCUAAAACUGUGUUCAUGUAUCCUAACAACAGUUACUGAUGUCUAUAGUUAGUUUUGCAUAACAUGAAUUUUAAGCCUAACUCAAUCUUAUAAACCUGGUUUGACAAAGUUUGACUUACUUAUAAACUAUGAAAUGUCUUUAUCUCUAGGUUGACGUGAGAUAUUCAACAGAUCAUUUAAAUGCCAUUUGGGAAGUAGAUUUGUAUUUCAUAAUACUGAAUGAUGUAUUGGUUUAAUGUAUUUAUUUACUUGGGGGCACCAAUAUUUAAUGCCCUUAUCCUUACACAGACUUCAAUAUUUUCAUGUCUAUUGGCAUCUGUGCAAACUAGAGCACUUUACUUAAAAUAUACAAUUUUGGUUACAUAUUUUGAAGAUUUACAUCUUAAAAAGAAAAAAAAAACUUCUGCACAUUUAGAUUCUAAAGUGCAUAAUUCUGAUAUUUUCCUGCACCUUCUGCAUCCAAUUUUAUGUAAUCAAUUUAUGUUAACAUAAACAUAAUCAUUGCAGCUAUAUGUUUGAACCAUUCACUGAUUGGAUUGCUUUAAGGUUAUGAUGUCAAGCAUUUGUAAAAAUGUAAUGGUUAUUGCUCUACCUUCUGGUGUAUAUAUUUUUACUGUUAUGACAUGAGAUUCAUGCAGAUUCUAAUCUUCCUUAGGAUUCAUGUGUUGUGCAUAAUGCAGGUUGUGGUUGACAACUAAAAUGUUUUGUCAUGUUCAAAGAAUGAUCCUUGUAUCCUUCAUGAACUGCAGACUCUGAUUCAGUGAAUACUUUGGUAGGGCUACCCUAUUUUUCUUGGGAACUUGUAAGGGCAGUCUUGC
rnacentral:lncRNA from 1 species